rnacentral:ribozyme from 1 species
GCAGAAAAGGGAAACGAAAAGAGAGAAAAAGGAUGGUACGCUUCUUGUUUUUUUGUUGUUGUUUUUUUGUUGUUGUUGUGUGUGGCUAUAUC